UCCCUGGUAGCUCAGACGGUAAAGCAUCUGCCUACAAUGUAGGAGACCCAGGUUUGAUCCCUGGGUCGGGAA
rnacentral:tRNA from 1 species